ACUCUUUGGAAUAUAUCAAUCCUAAGAAUAGUUAAUUCUUCAGCCCACCAAUCAACAAUGGGCUUUGGUUGAGACAUUGUGGAAGAAAGGAUGCCCUCGUUGCCAGUAUCAGACCUGCCUGUCAUAGAAAAUUGGCUUUCCCUGCAGGCCAUGAAUGCUAUUGCAUCUAUGCAUCGACUCACCAAUUUUAUUUUCUCUGCCAGUGGAAGGAGGUUUUCUGAUAGGUGUAAGACAGAAACUGCCCCAGCAAGACUCUUAAGUGCC
rnacentral:misc_RNA from 1 species